CUGGCCCAUCUGAUGUGUCCACGCAUCUCUGCACACUUCAUGUGCCGGAAGCUUCUUAAGCACCUUUGGGGAGCAGAUCAAUUCUUCCUUCACAGCUUUCAGGCCUAGGUCCCACCAUCCAUGUUCCCUCAAAGUGGAAGAGCCGCUGGAAGGCAGUAUGACAGAAGCCUGAUUAGGAGUCAGAGCUGUCCUACCAGCAGAAAUCCCGAACCUGCCAAGAAACCAUGCCCUCUGACAGCAUGGAGCUGUCUCCCCACUCCAGGACUCCCACAUGUCCUUCCCCCUGUCCCCCAGGACAGCUCUUCAGAGAGUUCUGUCCUCUGGACCGAGCCGAGGAAACAGGCAUCAGGGACCAGACCAGUGCUGGGAAAGCGGGACGCAGCUGGCUCCCAGGAUUCAUGGGAAUGUUGGAUCUUUCACCUCUGCCGUCUUCUCUCCCUCCUUCUUCAAGCACUGAGGUGUAUUCUGUCUUCGACAUCUGGAGUCUGUGUUCUCCAAUGGUACAACCUGGACACAGCGUGGGGCAGGGAGAGCUCCAGCUUUGGGCUUUGCUCUCCGAAGGGUCUGACGGCUGCUGCAGCCAGAAAGAGGGGUUCUCAGGGAACAUGAGAGGGAAUCUGAGCAAGAGACAGACCUCAAGGGAAGCGGAGUUUUCUCGACAAUCAGGAAUAAUGGAAGUUGAAUCUUGGAUUAAUUGUCUGAAUCUUUUGAAAAAUUACUGUUUCAUUUACUCAUCUGAAAAUCAUGAAAUUCUACAUUCUCUUGAGGGUGUGAGUCAAAUAGGCAGAAUGAAGUGGGUCAAACUGUCUGGAUUUCUUGGGAAGAGAGGGCUGAGGAGGGCCUUCUUUCUGAAGACUCAGUUCCAUGGGGGGAGGGAGAACCCCAAUUUCACAGCUGCCCAGCCCCUACCCCCUAGCCAUUCACACUGGAAAUGGUAUGAACUAGCAACAUACAGAUAUGUAGCUUGGAGACUCGAGGUGACGGAGUUGAGACACCCCUUUGUCUUGUCACCUAACUUCCUUUCUGUUUAA
rnacentral:lncRNA from 1 species